rnacentral:lncRNA from 1 species
GAUAUGUGGUCGAAAACCAGAGUCUUAUUGUGUUUACGUUAUGGUCUAACGGAGUUUAAGGCUAUCCGUGGGCUAUACGGGGCAUCGGGAGCGAACGGGAUCAACUGAGGACGCGAAAUAAACAAAAUAGGAAAAACCAAGCUACAUAUCGUGUCACCGACGCCACCAGGGCCGUCGGCGACGCCCUUGCGUCGAUGGGAUUCGUGUAGACAACAAGUUGUAGCUUCGUCAGCAACUAAAACACACAGGCAGCGUCACCAACGCAGGGGGGCUGUCGGCGACACCCCUUCCUGCUCGACGAUGCUGAUUUGUUUUAUUUUUGCGGUUUGAACGAAAUAAACCCCAUUUUUGGGUCAAUCUUGGAGAGUUACGUAUCAUUUGUUUUUGAAACACCAUCUUGGAGCCAAGAACACCCCUACCUUUACAUACAUGUCACAAUUCUAUAUAUCCAAGAUUCUUGUAACUGUUUGAAAAUUUUCUCACUUAUUUUUUCGUGAGCCCAAGCUAUAACUAAUAAAUAAGUAACUUAAUGAUUUUUUUCCACUUACUGAUUCUCAACUACUUAUCAUUUUCUUUAUUAAUAUUUACUUUAUCAAUAGUUAUUUAAUAAUUCUUUUCUCGAUUACUCUCUUUAUUUUUCCUUUUAUUAAAAACUAUUUAAUAUUUUAAUGAUUCAACCUCGUGUAAUAUAUGAGCUUCUAACCUAAUAAAAAGAAACUUUACCAUUUAUAAGAAUAUCCCUUUAUGGGUUAGAAAAAAGACAAUAGUUCCUUGACUUAAAAGGAUUAUUUAACGUCAUUUAGUAAAAAUGACAAUGAUGUGUUGCAAAACACAUCCUAUUAUCCUACGUAAUUUAUAUAAGUUUAGUGUCGUUUUUAUAGUUUUAGCUUGUAUUUCAUCAGUUUGUGUUCUUGCAAGUCCCAUUGCGUAAAAGGAGCAAAACAAGAAGAAACGAGCACGUGGGAGCAAACAAGGAAGUAUAGGGGCUGAAAAUGGUAAUUCUGAAGAUUGUAAAUGUUGGCGUGUUGCGAGCCGUUAAGACUACCCCCAUCGUGACGCAUGAAAGGUUUUAGAGUUCAAGUUAAUUACGGACUCUGCCAUCAAUCACGUUUUUUUAAUUAUUACCUAUUAUAUAUAUAAUAAAAGUAUAAAGAAGCUUAGGGGUUGUUUGGCAAAUUCUGAAUGUUUAAGUGCUGAACCAGUAAGAGGUCUGGACCAUUAAGAGCCAGUAUAAUGGUUAACCGUUCAGAGGCAAAUGUCUGACCAAUUCAGAUUAAAGGUCUUAACCAUUCAGACUCAGUAUAAUGUUUAACCAUUCAGAGACAAAUGUCUAAACCGUUCAAACAUUUGCUUGUGAAACAGACAGUCUGAACCAUUAAGUGUUGAAUCAGUAAGAAGUCUGAAUCAUUAAGAGUCUUAUUAAGAUGUAAACAAACAGCCUCUUAGUCUGAUUUUCGUUUUGCUUAUUUUAAUUUAGUGGUGUAAGACAAAUUAUCAAUUGUUAUACUUUUAAAUGAUUAAAAUAAAAUGAUUAAAAUUAACUAUUGUUUGUCACUUCAAGAUAACAUGUGUUUUUAUUUAUUGAUUGAAAAUAUGAUUCGUAGAAACUACGAGCUUUGAUGGUUUUCCCCAAUGUUUUAAAAACUGGUUAAACCGUCCAUUACACCCGGUUGAACCGUCUAAUACAUCCGGUUAAAUCGUUUUUGAGCCAAAUCCAAUACAAUAUAAAACCGAAUUUUAAAACAUUGGUUUUUUCCUAUUCUCCUAAGAUUUGGUUUACAAAAUAUAGAUGUUUAAAAACACAAAUUUGAGAUGUUAUUCAUUUUUCAUUUUUUUGCAAGAAAAUAAUUUUUCAUUUUUGGCACUUUUUCAUAGAAGAAAUUUAAAUCCUGCUAAUUGCGCUUUUUUUUAACAUCAUCAAAUUAAGAUUCACGCGUGAUAGGUUGGUCAUGUCUAUGCAAUUUUCUU